AAGUAUAUGCAUAUUUUAUAUGUAGAAACUGCGAACGGCUCAUUAAAACAGUUAUAAUCUACUUGACAUUUUUUCUAUAAGGAUAACUACGGAAAAGCUGUAGCUAAUACUUGCUUUAACACUCUUGAUUAAGUUCUUGAGUGUGUACUUGUUAAGCCUUUUAAGAAAAAAGUUAUUAACUUAAGGAAUUAUAACAAAGAAGCAACACGUAAAUCGAUUUUCCAUUUUUUAGUGUGUAUCAAUCGAGUUUCUGACCUAUCAGCUUUUGAUGUUAGGGUAUUGGCCUAACAUGGCUAUGACGGGUAACGGGGAAUUAGAGUUCGAUUCCGGAGAGGGAGCCUGAGAAAUAGCUACCACAUCUAAGGAAGGCAGCAGGCGCGUAAAUACCCAAUUCUAAAGAAGAGAGGUAGUGACAAGAAAUAACAAUACAAGGCCAAUCUGGCUUUGUAAUUGGAAUGAUGGGAAUUUAAAACCUUCCCAAAACUCAAUUGGAGGGCAAGUCUGGUGCCAGCAGCCGCGGUAAUUCCAGCUCCAAUAGCGUAUAUUAAAAUUGUUGCAGUUAAAACGCUCGUAGUUGAAUUUCAAAGAAUCGAUAUUUUAAGUAGCACUUUGUAGAUUAAUCCACAUAACUGAUACUACGUAUCGACUUUGUGCGCAUUUUUCUACUUAUGUGUUCUUUUAAUUAAAAUGAUUCUUUUUAAGAUCUUUCUUUUUUGCUUCGGCAUUUUAGGAGAUCUUGUUACUUUGAGUAAAUUAGAGUGUUCAAAGCAAACAGAUUAUAGCAUCUUUAUGCGUUUGAAUACUACAGCAUGGAAUAACAAAAUUGAACAAGUCAGAAUUUUGUUCUUUUUUCUUAUUUUGGCUUAGUUACGAUUAAUAGGAGUAGCUUGGGGGCAUUUGUAUUCAGAUGUCAGAGGUGAAAUUCUUAGAUUUUCUGGAGACAAACAACUGCGAAAGCAUUUGCCUAAAAUACUUCCAUUAAUCAAGAACGAAAGUUAAGGGAGUGAAGACGAUCAGAUACCGUCGUAAUCUUAACCAUAAACUAUGCCGACUAGGCUUUGGAUGAAAGAUUUUAAAAUAAGAGUUUUUUCUCUGAGGAGUUAAAACUCUUAGAUUGCUUCCUUCAGUGCCUUAUGAGAAAUCAAAGUCUUUGGGUUCUGGGGCGAGUAUCGCGCAGCGAGAAAGUUAAAGAUUGACGGAAGGGCACCACCAGGCGUGGAGCUUGCGGCUUAAUUUGACUCAACACGGGAAAACUCACUAGUUUAAGACAAGAGUAGGAUUGACAGAUUAAUAGCUCUUUCUUGAUUUCUUGGAUGGUGAUGCAUGGCCGUUUUUAGUUCGUGAAUAUGAUUUGUCUGGUUAAUUCCGAUAACGAACGAGAUCUUAACCUGCUAAUUAGCGGCAAAUACGAUAUAUUCUUAUGUGGAAUUGAAUAUAGUUGAUUUGCUUAUUUUGAAGAAAAUAUUGGGAUACGUAAAUGUAUCCCUUUCCCUUUUCUACUUAAUUUGCUUAUCAUACUAUUUCUUUUUUGCGUAAGAAUGUAUUUGCUUGAUUGUAAAGCUUCUUAGAGGAACGAUGUGUGUCUAACACAAG
rnacentral:rRNA from 1 species